rnacentral:rRNA from 1 species
GAAUGAACGCUGGCGGCGCGCCUAAUACAUGCAAGUCGAGCGAGAAGACGUAGCAAUGCGUUUGUAAAGCGGCGAACGGGUGAGGAAUACAUGGGUAACCUACCCUAGAGUGGGGGAAUAACUAGCCGAAAGGUUAGCUAAUACCGCGUACGCUCCUUGGACUUCGGUUCAGGGAGGGAAAGCGAUGCCGAGGGUAUCGCGCUCUUGGAUGGGCUCAUGUCCUAUCAGCUUGNGGU